GACGAACGCUGGCGGCGUGCCUAAUACAUGCAAGUCGAGCGAAGCGGCGGAUGGGUGAGUAACGCGUGGGUAACCUGCCCUUAAGUCUGGGAUACCAUUUGGAAACAGAUGCUAAUACCGGAUACUAAAGGAUGGACCUGGGAGGCAUUAGCUAGUUGGUAAGGUAACGGCUUACAAAGGCGAUGAUGCAUCGAAGAGGUGAGAGACUGAUAGUCAACAUUGGGACUGAGACACGGCCAAAACUACUACGGGAGGCAGCAGUAGGGAAUCUUCCAAAAUGGACGAAAGUCUGAUGGAGCAACGUCGAGUGAGUGAAGAAGGUUUUCGGAUCGUAAAGCUCUGGUGUUGGUGAAGCGGUAAUCAACCAGAAAGUCACGGCUAACUACGUGCCAGCAGCCGAGGUAAUAC
rnacentral:rRNA from 1 species